rnacentral:rRNA from 1 species
UACGAAGGGUGCAAGCGUUACUCGGAAUUACUGGGCGUAAAGCGUGCGUAGGUGGUUUGUUAAGUCUGAUGUGAAAGCCCUGGGCUCAACCCGGGAAGUGCGCUCGAAACUGCGCGGCUCGAGUGCCGGAGGGGAGAGUGGAAUUCCUGGUGUAGCGGUGAAAUGCGUAGAUAUCAGGAGGAAUACCGGUGGCGAAAGCGACUCUCUGGACGGCAACUGACGCUGAGGCACGAAAGCGUGGGGAGCAAACAGG